rnacentral:rRNA from 1 species
AUUGAACGCUGGCGGUAGGCCUAACACAUGCAAGUCGAGCGCGAAAGUGCCUUCGGGUGCGAGUAGAGCGGCGGACGGGUGCGUAACGCGUAGGAAUCUGCCUGGUAGUGGGGGAUAACUCGGGGAAACUCGAGCUAAUACCGCAUACGCCCCAUGGGGGAAAGCGGGGGACCUUCGGGCCUCGCGCUAUCAGAUGAGCCUGCGUCGGAUUAGCUAGUUGGUAGGGUAAUGGCCUACCAAGGCGACGAUCCGUAGCUGGUCUGAGAGGAUGAUCAGCCACACUGGGACUGAGACACGGCCCAGACUCCUACGGGAGGCAGCAGUGGGGAAUAUUGGACAAUGGGGGCAACCCUGAUCCAGCCAUACCGCGUGUGUGAAGAAGGCCUUAGGGUUGUAAAGCACUUUCAGUGGGGAGGAAAAGUUGCCGGCGAAUACCCGGCGACCGUGACGCUACCUGCAGAAGAAGCACCGGCAAACUCCGUG